GAGAGGAAGGUCCCCCACAUUGGUACUGAGACACGGACCAAACUCCUACGGGAGGCAGCAGUGAGGAAUAUUGGUCAAUGGGCGUAAGCCUGAACCAGCCAAGUCGCGUGAGGGAUGAAGGUUCUAUGGAUCGUAAACCUCUUUUAUAAGGGAAUAAAGUGCGGGACGUGUCCCGUUUUGUAUGUACCUUAUGAAUAAGGAUCGGCUAACUCCGUGCCAGCAGCCGCGGUAAUACGGAGGAUCCGAGCGUUAUCCGGAUUUAUUGGGUUUAAAGGGUGCGUAGGCGGCCUUUUAAGUCAGCGGUGAAAGUCUGUGGCUCAACCAUAGAAUUGCCGUUGAAACUGGGAGGCUUGAGUAUGUUUGAGGCAGGCGGAAUGCGUGGUGUAGCGGUGAAAUGCUUAGAUAUCACGCAGAACCCCGAUUGCGAAGGCAGCCUGCCAAGCCAUGACUGACGCUGAUGCACGAAAGCGUGGGGAUCAAACAGGAUUAGA
rnacentral:rRNA from 1 species